rnacentral:rRNA from 1 species
UCCGUAGGCGGUGUGGCAAGUCGGAAGUGAAAUCUCUGGGCUUAACCCAGAGGCUGCUUCCGAAACUGCCGUGCUAGAGUGUGAGAGAGGCGAGUGGAAUUGCGGGUGUAGCGGUGAAAUGCGUAGACAUCCGCAGGAACAUCCGAGGCGAAAGCGGCUCGCUGGAUCACAACUGACGCUGAGGGACGAAAGCUAGGGGAGCAAACAGGAUUAGAUACCCUGGUAGUCCUAGCCCUAAACCAUCAGGACUUGGGGUUGCCCUGUACGGGGCAAGUCCCGUAGCUAACGCGUUAAGUCCUGCGCCUGGGGAGCACGGUCGCAAGGCUGAA